GUGCUCAUUUUGGCAGUCUCUCUAAUGAAAUUAGAACAAAACAGAGAAGGUUAAUAAGGCCCUGUGGAAAAUGACACAAAAAUUUAUGAAAUGUUUUAUAGUUUU
ensembl:snRNA U6 U6 spliceosomal RNA